ACGCUGAAGUUAAGCAACAUAGAGCCAGGUCAGUACUUAGAUGGGGGACCGCUUGGGAACACCUGGUACUGUAAG